rnacentral:misc_RNA from 1 species
GAUGAAGAACGCAGCGAAAUGCGAUAAGUAAUGCGAAUUGCAGAAUUCCAGUGAGUCAUCGAAUCUUUGAACGCACAUUGCGCCCAUUAGUAUUCUAGUGGGCAUGCCUGUUCGAGCGUCAUUUCAACCCUUAAGCCUAGCUUAGUAUUGGGAAUCGACUUUACUGUCGUUCCUCAAAUUCAACGGCGGAUUUAUAGCAAUCUCUGAACGUAGUAAUUUUUUUCCUCGUUUUUGAAAUACUAUAAACCUCAGCCGCUAAACCCCCAAUUUUUCUAUGGUUGACCUCGGAUCAGGUAGGAAUACCCGCUGAACUUAAGCAUAUCAAUAAGCGGAGGA